UUUUUUUUUCAGAGGUUUACAUAGCAGAUUUAAAAGAUGAGUCACUAUUUUAGUGGUUCAUGGCAUUGAUUUCAGUAAUGUAGUGUUCAUUCCAACUGUUAACAUUCGUAAAGACAAUUUCCAACAAGCCAAAAUUGAUUCUAAUGCAUCCAAUGGUAUAUAGUAUAAGAAAAAAUUGAUAAACAGGACAUGUACAUGAAAUUUGGAAACUUGGUGGAUUCUCAGCCAGCUUUGACAAGAUGGCUUGCCACAGUGCUGUGUCAUAGAUGUCACUGAUGCUGGGAUUGGCAAGGAGGUGGUUCUGGAGUUGUUUGUUUGUGAUGGUUUUGCCAUAAGCCUCUCCAUGGUGCUUAAGUUGUGUGGGAGCCUAGUGGAUGUGUGGCUUAGAGAAGGAGAGGGUCACUCCCAGGCGUGUAGAAAACAAUGCUGCCGUGUCAAACUCAGUAAAAGUUUUUGGAAUCUGACUUUGUUCUUAUGUCAGGAUUUCAGGAUAAAUACAACACAAAGAAUAGGCCUUGGCCUUGCUUUAGAGGGCUUCACUAAUAAGAUCUACGAGGCAUAGAACAUAGUUAAAUUCAUCACAUUUGUUCCUGUUAUUUUCAACUGCAAAUGUGUUGUCCCAUCAAGCCAGAUGACUACUCAGAUUUUUCUCAGAUAAUUCAAAUUCUCUGCUUGAGAAAGUUGUGAUCACAACAAACAAGUACUUCCAGUCAUCUGGAUUGCUGUUAAGAUUGGAUUGUGAGUUAAAAGCUUUUGGAUAGAUUUCUUUCACCAUUUUUUGCCGGUCUACACAACUUUAGUCACAUGUAAGUUCAUUGGCUACCUCAUUGUCAAUGCCACUUUGUUUCAGUGUGCCAGAUAAUACUAAGAUAUAUGUGAAACAUCAACUACUCAUGCAACUUAGGGAAGGUUAGUAUGACACAUGUCUUGGAGCUUCCUCUUCAUAGUGGCCUCCCAUGCCUCACUUCCAUCAUCAAUAGUACGUGAUGAGUGAGAAUGAACGAAAUGCCUUUAAAAGAAUUAAAGAAUAGACAGAUUUACAUAACAUAUAAUAUGUAUAAGAUGAGCAUCUCUAGCAAAUUUCUCCAGUUGUACCUUGAAGCAUUGUUCAAAAAAAUGCAAAGAGUAAGACAAGCAUCCAGAUGACCAUUGUGUUUGUGGUGCCAUAUAACAAGAGGAUCUACCUCCGGAACUAAGUGACUUGUGCAACCUUUUUGAGCCACCCAACUUCGACAACGCUUGGGCCAUAAAAAUCCUCUUCUAAUGUUUUUCUGAUCAGACAAGUUGCAUCAAAGAACUUCUUAAUUUCAUGAUUGGAGUUUAGACUAUGACCCUUUACAGGAGUAGUGACAACAGAAGUAAAUGAAGUUUUUUUUUCUAGAUUCUUGAGAGUCUAGAGCUGGUUGCCAGAAUCUAGUAAUUGAACUUAUAGAUGUAUACUCUUUCUCUUGGUUUUGAAGGUAUUCUUAAUCAACUUAGUUCAAAGACUUAUGAAGAGCUCAUUGAAUUGCUAAAAGACUUACUAGUGGUGGGGAGAAUGCAAAGAGAAACUCUCCCAUUCUUUUCUGACAAAUUGUCAACUACCAACCUUAGAAAAGGAUAAUCCCAGGAUCUUUGCCAAUAAUUUCUUCCCCUCUUUGACACGGCUAAAGUGGAUGCAAGUGCUGAAGCUGCAUUUUGCACCUGCAAAGUUUCUAUGACCAACUUGUAGCAUUAAAAGCUGUAAAUGACUAUUCAAUUCCACUCCUUUAACAUGGCUCCCUCUUUUCUUUUUUUUUUAAAAACAAAAAGAAAAGGCUACCUAAGACGCCACCAAGUCUCAUUACUAGGAGAACCACCAAGUCUCAUUAUAGGGAAAAUCAUCAUAAGUCAUUGUUCUAUUUUUUUUUUUAAAUGUGUUGUUCUAACCCAAAGUAUGUAUGAUUACUUGCGAAAUACAAAAGAGUCCCUUUUGCCACCGGUCCGAGUCAUGAAAAUUUCCCCAUGCUAUGCUUUAAGUUCAUAUUGCAUUAGUCUAGGCCUUGGAUGAUCUGGAUCGCGUGUGCUUCGUGCCACUUGCAGCCGAACUCUUGCAGCCAAUUGUUGAUUUCCAAAGUCCAAUCCAGAUCUUGUGCUCGUUGUUUAUUAAUCAGGGCUUUUUAUUUACCAACAAAAAACCAAAAAACUGGCUGGGCAUAGUUUCAUUGAGCACGAAAAUAAGUUUCUUAUGUCCUUGAUGUGAAAUGCUUCUUAAGACUUAAGCUGCAUUUACAUUUCUGACCAUUUUGAGCUGGAAAGCAUGCAUGCUUCUAUAUGUCAAGCAAAGCGAUAAAAGGAUGUUCAAGCAUUUGCAGGUAUUUUGUGAUUAAUGUCUGUUUUCAUCUCCUAGUUUCACCCUUCCACAGGUGCCAAUGUGGAGCGAUCUCGAACAGAAAAAAGCUUCCAAGCAGACAUAAAUCGAUUUGCUGCAUUGACUGAUCACCUUUCUUCCUUAGGAACAAUGACACUUGAAACAGAAAACUCAUUUUCGAGCAGAAAUAAUCAGUGAUGUGAAUAGUAGUUCAUCCUGGAGUGUUCGUAACAUCUCUGAGAGAAUUUUGUUUCGCAAUCUAGCAGUUCUCCAAGAGAAGGUUUAUAGCCAAGCUUCCCCGCAUUGUAGCUGAAUCUCAGCCUAGAUCUUGGCGAGAGGGCCGCCAUGUUUUCCCACACGGUUUUCGAAUCGAUUUCAUGUGACAGUUAUUGUCACAUGACAAAGGAACAGAAAGAGAGGCAAAACAUUGUGUGUUCGUUUCGGGGCAUUACAACAGACUCCAAUUCCUUGGUCUCAUGUUAGGAGAUUCUAGUCGGUGACACCAUGACCAUGCUUUCUCACUCGGUUUUCUCUUUGCUCGUCCUUUCCCUUUCUCUUUGCUGCACAUAAGGGUGACAAAAAAUAAAGGUCUUUUUUUACACCCUUAUUUCUGUUGCAAAUUCUGAUGGUGGCUGUUUCUAAUUAUUAAACAGUGUUUCUUACACAAAUCACAUUUCUUUUUCAUUCUCCCAUGACUUAAGCUAAGGAUCCUUCAUUCUAAUUGUCAUGGAACUACUGAUUAAUUGAUGAGGGUGUAGUUGAGCUCGAUAUCUCCAUAUUUUGACCUUGUUGUUAGCUACAUCACAAGAGGUUUAGUAAACUAUAGAAUAAACUUAUAUAAAAAUUUUUUUGGAUGGAUCAGUAUCAUAAAUUACAUUACAAUUUUUGGUUUGAGAUGGUAAUGGAUAUACCUAGAAAAUGCUUGGAUAUUUUAGAAUAUUCUAUCAUCUUAUGGUUGUUAUUCAUUUAGAUUAAUUUUGUAUUUAUAAUUUAUAAACAUUUUUUAGUAUAUUAUUUUUUAUUCUGUCAUCUAAUGGUUGAUAUGCAAUAAUAUUAAUCUUGUGUAUAUAAAUUACAAACAUGCUUAUAAUUAUAAACUUUAUUUGAUUAUUAAACAAACCAAGCAAUGCAACACGUAGCAAUUUAUUACAAAAUUACAUCAAAGCUUUCAAGUUGGACCCAUCUCUCCUUGGAACUGACAAGAAACACAACACACAAAACUGCAGUUCGAAGCAGCAAGCUGGUGGUGCUCCAAAAUCCUUGCAGACUUUGCUGGAUUGAAGCAUCUGGAGCAGCCCAUGCUUCAUCUCCUAUUGCCAAGAUGAAACAAAAGAGCUCUCUCCUUUUCAAUGGAAGUGGGGGCUGGCCUGAUGCUGUAGAGCAGUUGAUAUCCCACCGAUGGUGGACCAUCAUCAAGGCUUUUUGUGCGGCUCCUCCGCAGAAAAAGAAUUUGUAAGAACAAUCUUUUAUAUUUUUUUUUAAUUCACACAUUAGCAGAUUUACAUGGUCCUUAUGUAAGAGCAACAUUAUUUUUAUAAAUAUUUCUUUAUCCACUCAUGUUCGAGGACCUUUUCGAAAGUAAGCCUCCUUCCGGGAUCCAAUUCCGUCAUACCUUGGAUAAGUUGCCUUGCAGAAAGGGAUGGAAUGCUAUCCCAAUCCAUAGAAUUGUGAUGGAGGUUCCUUAAAGUUCGAUCUCUCUUGCGUGCAUUAUUAAAUACCACCUCCACAUCCAUAUUUGGGAACGGACAAGCUGCCGUGAGGCAAGUGUAAAGCAGCAUCCCUAAGCCCCACACAUCGCUGGCUGUGAUAUAGCGCCCAUCGAGCAUCGCUUCGGGGGACAUAUAAUCCCACGUCCCAGCCCCAUGCUCGUUCCACGGAUCCUCCAUCCAGCAAGCCAUCCCAAAGUCGGACACCUUUGGGACAUAGAACUUCCCAGGCCACGGGUACUUCAGCAAAACAUUCGCGGGCUUCAGGUCGCAGUGGAUGAUCUCGUUGUCAUGAACCCUCUUUAGCGUCUUGGCGAGAGCUAUGACAAUCUUUGCAGAUUCUUCCUCAUCAAGCUGCCCCUUGUACUUGAUCCGGUCCUGAAGGCUGCAAUUGCACAGCUCAAGAACAAGGUGGUACACCUCCCUGUACUGAUUGGGCUCUUCUCGUAUGAUGUGCUCGAAGUGGACGAGCCCCUGUUCAUCCAAACCCUUGAGUGACACCUCUAGCAUAGCCAUCACUCGAGCUUCAAACAGCCCAUCGGGGCCAUGAACUGUCUUGAUCGCAAAAACCUUUCCAUCACUCCUUCGGAAUGCCUUGUACACCAUCGCUUGCCCUCCACCCCCAAUCGACUUCUCUAGUCUAUAUUUCUCUAUGAGCACUGGGUAUUUGUCACAGAGUUUUUCAUCCAGGACCGUGUGGUACUCCAUCCCUUGCCUAGGUUUCUUGAGCGCAUAGUUCUCCUGCUCGCACUCGCACUUAACCAUCUCGAAAGAGCUCUAGGGCUUGUUUGUAAAGGCAGAAUCUUAGUUUAUGCAUCUUUUAUUUUAAAGGUAUCAUGUUUAAGUGAACAUUUCCUGGAAUGCCAAGUGUGGAAGCAUGAGAGACUCUCGGCGAUGGGAUUGAGAACCACGACGUUGUCUCCUGGACGGUAUUGGUUCUGGGAUACGCUCGAAGAUUUGGCUCUGGAGCUCUUCUUGGAGAUGAUUGCUCGAGUUUUCUCGCGGCUAUCAAAGCUUGCUCUAGUCUGGCUGCGCGAGAGGAGAUUGAUGCGUCGUUGGCUGUGAAGAUCAAGAGCUUGGAACGAGCUUUGGCGAUUCACUCUCACGCAUCAAGCUCUCACGGCUUCAAGUUGGAGGCGAGGAGACAUACACUUGGCAAACGCGAUGGUGGACUUGUAUGGCAAGUGUGAAAGUCUAGAAGAUGCUCGCAGGGUGUUUGAUUCGAUGGAGCAGCACGACAUCGUUUCCUGGACAUCGAUCAUCACAGGCUAUGCUCACGAGAGCCAAGAUGGAGACGAAGCUUUCCUUCUCUUCUCUUCCAUGCAAGAACAAGGAUUUAAACCCGAUCGUUUAGCUUGUCUCGCCGCUAUCAAGGCUUGUAGCGUAAUCACGGAGAAGAAAAUGGAAUUUAGACGUAGAAUCUCUCGAGAAAGCAAUGAAAAUCCACUCGUGGAUCUCGCAGCUUGGCCUGGAGAGAGAUCCAGCAGUCUGGUUGAUAUGUAUGCCAAGUGUGGAAGCUUGAUCAUGGACGCUCGCAGGGUAUUUGAUAAGAUCUUAGAUCGCGACAUAGUCUCGUGGAACUCUUUCCUGUUUGGAUGUGUUUACAUUGGCGAGGACGAGCUUGCGUUGGAAUGCUAUGCAGCCCUUUGCUCCAAACUCUCAAACCUUUCUUGCGUUGUUGCCAGUUUGCAGGAACCUGGGAGAUUUGAAGCUCGGGAAGCUCUUCCACGGACAGAUUCUCCGGCAGGGACUGGAAGGGAGUUCUGUGGGGAUUUCCCUGCUUGUGUUGCGGACCACAUAGAAAUCGCUUCCUGCUUCCUGAUGUUGUCAAUCUUUCCAUCACUUUCUUUUCUCCAGGUCCGAAUCACAGCGAAAAGUGGAGCUACCUCUCUGAUACAAUGGCGGCAAUCGAUGGUGGCUUUGCGAAACCUUUGUGGCAAAAAUCCAAUGUGAGAGCUUGGCGAGAGCUUGUUGACAACACCAAGCUUGCUCUCGAGCUUGGUGACUGUGUAAACUCGCUGGUAGCAGCAAAACCAAGGCUCUCAAAACUCCAACAGGGAUCACGCCUUCAAAGAUUGUUUGGCGCGAAUCCUCAAAUAUACAUCAAAGUUUUUUCUCAAGUGCAUCUUUUCCUACUCGCAUGCUCCGAAAUGCUUGGAACCCAGCGAUGGCGUCUCCUCGAGCGCCAUGUCCUGCAAUCAAAGUAUUCCAUGCCAAAGUGUUGGGAGACGCAAUGGAGCUCUCAAACACAAGCUCGGCGACCUCGACGCUCCCGCAUUUACAGUAGAAGUCGAGACUACAUAUCACCUAGUCUGCAGUGAAGGAAAAAGAGAAAGAUCUCAUACCUAUGUGCAAGAUCUAGCAAUUCCAACUUGUCCACAAAUCAUACAGUUGCAUCCUAUCACAACAUUAUGUCCAAUCUACAUGCAAAGAAGCCAAGAGUAAGCAGUGCUUAAUAAAAGAAAAAAUUUCUCAAACGUGAACCAAGUCGUCAAGCUUCACCUUAUCCCAGAUGACUGUAUCACACCAGCUGAUGAUUAGUCCAGGGCAAAUGAGACUUCAGAAGAAGAACGAGCCACUUUUGUUACCUCUCAGGGUCGAGGAUGAAUUGGCACUCACUGCUUCCAAUCUUUAUCAGCAAUUCCUAAGAAAAAAACAUUGUUUAUUAUUUAUAAUAAAUCAGUGCUCCGAAAAUUUUGUAUUUUAACCCCACACUUUUAUUUUUCCCACUUUUCCUAAACAAGAUAUUGUUUCAGAAUGUUUAUAAAUUCUAAAUAUGUUAUAGUUCGCUAGAUUGACGGUUUGCUCAAAAGUAAUUUGUAUGAUCAAUUAUCUUUUCUAUUUUUAAUUUUAUCUUUACUCUCCUGUUCAUUGUUACGAUCAAAACUCUUGGUCAUAGUUUCACAUCUACGUGUACAAAAAAAGCUGGACGCUACUUGCGAGGAAAUGCUUGGUCGUCGACUUGAGGCAGGAGACCAAGCAGCUCAAGGCACAGUUGAGUUAGUUUCUUUCAUUUCUUCAGAUGUACAGUAUUUCUAGAGGAUGCUCGGAGCGUCUUCGUGGAGAUAGAGCAGCCGAACAAGGUUGCAUCAUAUCUAGAGUUGCGGAUUUCGACUAAUGCUCUGGCUAGAUGCGGAAAUGGCCUUAAUUCCGGUUGAGUUGGACCGUUUGCGGACCUCAUUUCAGCUGAAUUCGUUAGGGUUUGGUUGCGUGAUCAUGAAUGAAAAGUAGAUUUGGAAGCGCGAGAUUUCCCUCUGGAUCCAGGAAUUUUGAGAGUCAGGCCGAAAUGGAGAAGAUUUGGUGUCUCGGCUGCAUUUUCUUGCGCCGGCAUCUCAUUCCACGCGACGUUGCAUCACAUCUUGAGCAUCGAAGUAGUCAGUAAACUCAAGAUCCCUGAUGUAUCAUUCGAGAUAAGAUUUUGUUUAUAAACGGUUCCCAAGAUCCUUGGUGUCAUACCUCCAAGCAAACUUCUUCGCUUAAUGGUAAGAGAGCCAUCAUAAGCUAUGUCGUCUCAAAUCUGCAAUUGCAGAGCCCGCAUAUGUGACAAAAUGUCAAAACUGCGCUCAUGGAGUUGAUGUGUGAGGCUGUCUGCAGAGUAUCGGAGUAAACCCAUGGAUUUCGUUUAAUCAAGACGAUGGCUGAGGGGCACUCUUCCUUGUGGCUCUGAGGAUGGCACUGGGACCUCUGUUGCCUAGGCUGCAUCCAAACUCUCCCUAACUUUCGAAGUGGUGAACAAAAGUUUUUGGGUGAGAACAUGAUGGAGAGUGUGGUAAGUUGAGGAGGAAAGACUAAGAAAUCAUGCAAAAGAUUGGAAGGAAGAAGAGGAGAGAGGGAAGAGAACAAAGCACCUCUCUCUAUGUGAUUUUUAGGGCUGUGGAGUCCCAAAGGACUUUAAACAUGAUAACAGGGAUGGAGCUCAGCAUGGAUGGCUUGAACUCAAUGGACUUGGACACUCACUAUCACUAGCUAAGUUUUGUGGAGCAUUAUUGUAGCAUUCCCAUACCUUUUUAGCAUUUAAUUUUUACUAUUGAUUUUUGGUUUGCUUAAGCAAAUCUGUAAGUCUAGAAUAUGAGGAUAUUCUACCAUUUAAAAGUUGUUAUUCAUUGUUUAUAAUUUAUAAAACUUCUUAAGCACUUUCUAGUAUAUUCGUUUUUAUUUUACCAUCUAAUGGUUGAUAUGCAAUAAAAUUUAUAUUGUGUUUAUAAAUUAUAAACAUAUUUAUAAUUAUAAAUUUUUAUUUGAUUAAUUGGAUUAAUAAGUAAGAAUAACAUUACUAUUGAGCAAACCAAACAUUGCUAUGACUGAAAGCUCACCAUGCCUUUUCCCUCCUCUAAGGAGAAUAAUCUCCCCAACUUAGAGACUUAUUAGACCACUUGUGGUGGUUCUCUCCCUUUAUUUAGUUUAAUUUUUGUUAGACCCAUUAAAGACACCUUUUCUAUCUCUGCAAUGCGUAACUGAUUUUUACUAUUUUAUAUAAAAACACAAUAAAAUAUCCCUCAAACCAUUUUACAUAAUUAUUAGAGGCAGUAAAUUGCAUUUGUGAGGUUCAAGUGUACAAUUACGAUGCCAUAUACUAAUAUUAGAGUCGUGGGAUUUUGAUAAUUAUUAGAUUAGUUUUAAUAUUCAUUUCUAUAUAUAAACUAGGGUUUUGGGCUAAUUGAUAUACAUAUUUCUGUUUUCCAUUUUUAUAUUUUAUGCAUGGUGGAGGUGAAGUGUAGUUUUAAUUAUCCCUAUGAAGUGUUUGGAUUUAGUAUUUUAGUUUGAUCUAACUUUUAUAUAGUUUAAAUUUUCUUUUCUUUCUAGCUUUUCCAAUUUCUUCUUUGUUGCUUUUCCUUUAUAUUCAUCUUUAUGGCAGAGCUUUCUCUUUUAACUUUGGAGCAGUAGUUGGUGCAAUUACUUGAUAUUAUGUGAUUAUAAUUGAAUAAUCAAACUCAAUUAAUGGCAACAUUCACAGCAUGUGAUAGAACUCCUCACCAAUCCUUGCGUCCGGUUGGAGUUCUUUUGUGGGAGUCCUAGAGAUGAUGUGUACUAUUAGUUUGAUCAUUUUAUAGCAUAUAUUAUUUUUGGGAUAAUGCUCAGUGUUUGCAUGAAUUUCCCACAUGUGUUUAAAGGACAGUGUUAUAGUGGUAUAGUGGUUUAAGUGCAGUUACUCAUGAGGAUUAGAGCAUUCUCCUAAAUGUCUUUAUGCAUUUGGACAUGCCAACAAUUAUGAUGAUGCCUUCCAACAAUUGCAUCAUUUUUGUCAAAGGCUGUCUAAGUUAAUGAUGUAAUUUGAUGUUUGUUUUUUGCUUCAUACCAAAUAUGUCAGAGAGGAUCAAAUUAAAUGUUGUGGCCAACACUUCAUAAAGAUCUUGUAAAAUUUAUGUAUACACUUGCUCUAGCCACCCUAGAUAAUACUCUUCACUUGGCAUAAUGUUAUGAAAUGUUAUUUUUUCCACUUCUCAUUGUAUAUCCUUUAGUUCCAUUUCUUAUAAAAGAUAGUCAUGUUCUAAUGGAGGUGGAUGUUAUUGCCACCUAAGUUCAAGAACAAGGACGAAGACGUAAUUAUAGCUGUGAUGUUUAUUGUUGGGCAUAUGAUAAAAGUGGUUACAUUUAUGAGUAUUGUUAAUAUUUUCAAAAGUGGUGACCUCCAUUUCCUGGGUGGAAACUUUAAUAUCAACAACAUCCUAUUAGUGUUGUUACAAUAGAAAGUCUAAAUAUUGAGAUGCUUAUGAGAAACAAAGAGUUGUAAGAGUAAAGUGGGAACAUCCACAACACCAAGAAUUUCUUCGAUUAGAGCUUUGCGUCUUGGAAUCUGAUGAUCACUGCCUACUCGCAUGACAGCCAGGUGAAAUCUGCCAAGAGCCUCUUCAAUCAAACUCCAGCCAAGAACCUCCUCCUCUACAACGCAAUGUUCAUAACCUAUGCCCAAAAUGAGUGCCAUGCCCUUGCGAUUGAGCUCUUUGCCUUGAUGCUGUGCAGAGAUCUCGUCUCCUACAAUGCAAUGCUCUCUGCGCUCGCGAAAUCUAGCCCUAUUGAUCAAACCAAAGAUUUCUUCGACCUAAUUCCCGAGAAGAACAUCGUUCCAUGGAAUGCGAUGCUCACAACAUAUGCCGAGAAUGGGCAUCUGGAAAUGGCGAUUUCCAUGUUCGAUUCGAUGAGCCAUCAUGAUAUUGUGUCCUACACUGCCAUGCUCACUGCGUAUGGAUCGAGCGGCCAGAUAGAACACGCAAGAACAGUGUUUGAUUCGUCACCCCAGAAGGACGUUGUUUUAUCAACUGCCAUGCUCGCAGCAUAUGCCCAUUUAGGGUUCUUGGCAGAGGCUAGCACAAUUUUCCAAUCUAUGCGAGAAUGCAGCAUAAUCACGUGGAAUUCUAUGUUAGCUGCUCACGCAUUGAGCAGCACAAUCGAGAAAACGAAGUGGAUUUUCGAUUUGAUGCCGGUAAGAGAUACAGUGUCUUGGAUUUUGAUGUUCAGCGCAUAUGCCCAGAUUAGGCAUCUGGAGAAAGCGAUUUCCUUCUUCACGACAAUGCCAAUGCCACACGCAGUCCCAGAUCGCGUCGUGCCCUGGAACACGAUGCUCGCGGCGCACGGAACCAGCGGCCAGGACGCCGGGGCCGCGAAUUUGCAAGGUGUGGCCCCGGAUGCCGUCUCCUUUUGGGGGCGUUUGGCCACACCGGGGACGUGGAUUCCAGCUGGAGCUACCUUGUGUCGAUGCGCAGCGAUUACUCGAUCCAGCCGGAGAAGCUCCACUUUGGGUGGGCGAUCCGGGCUCGAGCUGGGAACUUCGAUUUCGCCCGGGAUCUCCUCGACAACAUGCCAUUCGUUCCAGGGAUCGAGCAAUUGAGCUGCCUGACACUGUUCUAGAGCCAAACAAAUUAGAUUUCGUCCAGGAACUUCCAGAGAUCGAGCAAUUGAGCUAUGACGCAAUCGCCCAUCUCGAGAUCUAGACUAGACAAUUGGUAGAAACAAAGAUCUUCCUCCUUGGUCCUUUCAAAGGGCUGUCUCUUCGCUCUUCGGAGCACUGGCCGCCUCGACUCUCUCCUGGACAGCAUCCACAGCCUUGUCUUGGACGCUGCUUUUCCCCUUGAGAUCCUCGGCCGCGGCCUUGAGCUCUCCCGCCGCGGCCUCUUUCUUCUCUGGAGCAACGUCGGCCUCUCUCGACUGAUAAGUGUGGAGAUAAUCCUCGGCCUUCUUUACGUAGUUCCCAAACGGCGUGCCUUCGAGCUUGCCAUAGUGUGAGGCGCCCUGGAGAAUGUCCUCGGCAGCGUCGGCGAGCUUGGCAGUGUCCAUACCCCCACCACCACCUUCCUUCUUAGCUCCUGCUCCUCCCAUUUGCUGCUUCGCGGCGUCUAGAAGAACGUUGGCACUGCCCAUAAGCUCCGAGUAGCUUGGAACUUCGCCGCUGGUCUUCUUUGCCUCCCCCGUGCUGCUCUUCUUUGGCUCCUCCGUGCUUGGUCCAUGGCCUGCUUCUUCCGUCUUUGGCUUCUCGCUCUCCUUCUCUCCGCUGAGAAAGGAUCCUGCCUGCUUCUUGAAGAAAUCCAUACAGGAAAAAAAGAAAUGUGAGCAGACAAAGAGAAGAUGAACCGAGAAGAAGAGCCGAGGGUAAACUGUCGAUGACACUCUCCAGUGGAUAUUUUUAUAGAGUCCGGGAAAACGAGUAAAGGGACACGAUUUUUGACGCGUGGGGGCCCAAACCGGAUCACUAUCCUCCUGUGAAGAAAGAUGGACGAGGUAAAUGUGAGACAGAGAAAAAAAGAUAUAUACAAAACUACCCCACCGACAAGUGCCACCAAGACUCCGAUUUGGAUGCACCACCAAAGAUUUUUAUCAAGCCGCUGUGGUUUGAUUCGUCACAGUGACUUACAAAACACGUCGGAGAACUAUAGUACAAAGCUUUCGAGUCUUAUUUCGUGCUGCUACCUUGUCUGCCAAAGAAAAGAAGAGUUUAGCAUAAAAGAAAUGGAAAAACUUGUCAUACCCUUGUCAUACCAGGUAAUGAAUUGUCUCGCUCCAGUUAAGAACUCUGUAUCUGCAAAGAGAGAGAAGUCAACCAGGGAAUCGUGAAUCAAAAACAUGUCCUUCAGCCACGCCAAUUCCUCAUAUGACUGGUCCGUAUUCUAGUUACACGAGCACUGCUCCAACCGGUUGCAAGACCGGGAGCAACGACGUGCAACGUCAACGGGCAGCGCAGUGAGAUUACUAAAUUAUGCAUCAUAGGACCGAACCACUAGAAGGAAAAAAAGUAAAGUGAACUUACAUUGAGAGCUUAGAAGUUUAAGAUGAUCUUCUCUUGUGGAACCCCUUCGGCCGAAAGUAGAUCAGUCACAUCCUGCAAUAAAAACAUCACAGUGAAGGUAGGGCAAAGGGAAACAAAAAAUCUCUACCUUGACCAUGCCCUUGUGGCCACAAAGAAAAGUAACAACUUGAGAGGAAUCUGGAAUACUUAUGUUCUUCGAAAAGGCUGCCUGUGGCACAAUAAAGCGAAGCUAAAUGAGAGAUGGAGUAAAAGAGAAAACAAUGAAUCAUGUCUACAACAGUGACCAUAAACCUGGACAUAUCCUGAUUCGCCCAUCCAGCUCCCAUCAGGCUGCGAGAGCACGGGAAUUAUGCUCACGCCGCUUGCCUCCCACUCUUUGAACUUGUCCUAUAGUAGAAAUAAGUGAGAAUCGACAACCGAAAGAGAAACAAAAGAAGAGUACCCGAUAUGCCAUCCUCUCAAGACUCCUGGCUCCAUAGUAAAGCCUCACAUCGCUCCUCCUGUUCGCGUCAAUUCCGGCCUCUAUAAGUGAUCGAAUCGGACUGUCCUGAAAAAAAAAGGAACCAUACGUAAACCAUCCCAAAAGAUAGCGAAAAAACGAGUGGAAAGAAGGAAACAUCAUGUCUACGCAAACUCCAAGAAAUGAAAGAACAAGAGAGUGGAAAGAUGCCUACGUACGAACAAAAAAAGAUACGAGUGGAAAAACAUGUCUACCAUCCCAAGAGAUAGCGAAGAGCAAGAACAAAAGAAAAAAAGAAAAAAAAGAAUGGAAACGGAAGAAAAAAGAAGAAGAAAUCACGUUACCUGAUACCAGAGCCAGUCGCGAAGAACAGCACAGUCUGGAACUUCUCUGGAGGGUAGAGCUGGUCGAUGUCGAAACCUUUGCCCAUCACUUGGCUUAAAUCCACCUUAUCUCCCUUGGCCAGAUCGCACAGCACAGCCGAGGUAGUGCCCUCCACGUCCUUGACAAGGAACUCCAAGAAUCCCUUGGCGGCGGUGGAAGGCGGGGAAGCGAUGGCGAAGAAUCCCGGCUUGUGCUCCUCCUUUUUCAUCUGGACGAAUUGCCCCGGCUUGGAAUGCCCCUUCUGGAGCUCGGGAUUCCGGCCAAUGUCGAGCACGAUGUGGAAGAGUUGUUCCGCCGCUGGAGCAAUCUCGACCAGCGGCGCCGACGUCCACAGCACUUCCUGCUUCCAUUGCGCCCUCACGACGAAUCUCACCCGCGCGGAGGAUGAUUUCUUGGACAGCGUCGAGCAGUACCUUUUGGCGAAACGCAAGCUCGGCGCCGCCGCCGUCGCCGCUGCUAUCGCCAUGGGAUUUCCUAGGGCAAGUACCUGCGGCGCUCGCAAUACCGCCAUUGCCAGGAACCCUAAAUUCCCAAAUUUUGGGAGGCCUUUAAAAAUGCCCUUGUUGGGCAUUUGCAACAAGUACGGAUCCUCAAUCUUGGAGAUCUUCUUUGGGCAUAGAAUCAAACACUUGUGUAAAGUAAAGAAGCAUAUCUUGUGCGCAGAUAUACAGUAAUAUAUUUUUUCCUGACAAUAUUCUUUCAUGAAAAUAGAACGUUCUUCUAGCUUCCAAAUGCCCAGCUUGGGCAUUUUCAUUAUCCCAUGUUGACUUUUGCGUUGACAUGGUUGACUUUGCAUUCACUUACAUUGAAAAAGUGGCUCUGGCUCCUAAGAGAUUCUUUCUUCGAUGCUCCACAGCGAUGGCGUUUCGACCACCACCACCACCAGCAGGAGCUGGAAAGUGGCAAAGAAAUCGACGAAGGGAAUCGCCACACUCUUGGCGGCGCUCAAGGAGGCAAGCAAGGCCAGGGAUGCCAAGAGGGGGCGGGAGCUCCACUCCGACGCCAUAGCCAGUGGAGUGGCUGGCGAUCUCUUCGUGGGCAGCAGCCUGGUGGACAUGUACUCCAACUGCGGCCUCAUGGGCGAAGCGCGAGAGGUAUUUGACGCCAUGCCCAGCCAUGACAUUGUCUCGUGGAAUGCGCUCAUGCUCGGUUACGCAGAGAACGGCGAUGGAUUCGCGGCGCUCGCCCUCUUCUCGCCGAUGCGCGACGAGGGCUGCGCUCCAAACUCGAGAACUUUUGUCGCUGCGGCGAAGGCAUGCUCUAGCAUUGCCACGGCUGAGAAGGAAGAAGAAGUUCCAAGAGGUAGCGAAGUAUGCUCGACUUCCAAGAUGAGAUCGCUGGAGAUUGGAAUGGCGAUCCACUCGCAGGCGCUGGAGAGGAGGUGUGGAUCCAUUUUCGUGGAGAGCUGCCUCGUCGAUAUGUAUGCCAAGUGUGGCAGCAUGGACGACGCUCGGCGCGUUUUCGAAAGGAUGGAGAGGAGGAAUAUGGUGGCCUGGACGUCGCUCAUGCUGGGCUAUGCCGAGAGUGGCGAUGGCCAAGCUGCGCUCGAGCUCUUCCAGGUGAUGGAACGCGAGAAUUGCCCGCGGGACGCUCGGACUUUCGUUGCCGCGGUGAAGGCUUGCUCGAGCCUGGCUAUGGCGUCGAAGGAAGGAUCAUCUAGCGCGAGAGCCUUGAGAGCUCUUGAGACCGGCAUGGCUGUUCAUCGCGAAGCUCGCAAGAGUGGAUUCGAGUCGGAUGCUUUCGUGGUUUGCGGGCUUGUGGAUUUGUAUGCAAAGUGUGGGAGCAUGGAGGACGCGAGGAGGAUCUUCGAGCGCUUCUCUAGCCACGACGUUGUCUCGUGGACGGCUUUAAUACUCGGCUAUGGUGACAAUGGCGAAAACGAGGUGGCGGUGAAGCUCUUCUUUCGCAUGGUUCGCCAGGGAUACCAUGCAAACGCUCGGACUUUCGUGGCAGUGAUCAAGGCUUGCAGCAGCCUUGCCGAGGAGGAGCAAGGCGGGAAUGCGAUAAAGUUUCGCGCUCUUGCCACUGGAAUGGCGAUCCAUCGCCUCGCAGCUGCGAACGGUGGCUGCGAUUCCAGGGACGUUUUCGUGGGGAACACUUUGAUCGACAUGUAUGCGAAGUGUGGAACUAUGGUGGAUUCCCGGCGAGUUUUCGAUGCGAUGCUUACACGGGACGUGGUCUCGUACAACGCGAUCAUGCUGGGCUAUGCCGAGAAUGAUGGCGAGGCUAUGGCGCUCGAGCUACUCGCGGCCAUGCACAGGGAAGAACCGGGCGUUGUGGCGAAUAGCUUGAGCUACCUUGCUGCUGUGAAGGCUUGCAAUCACUUGGCAUCCCGAGAAGAAGCCAGGGACUUCGAUGGAAGAGCUGUGAAGAUCGAGAGCCUGGAGAAAGGCAUGGCUGUUCAUGCUCGAGCUACGGAAGCCGGGUGUGAUCGAGAUCUUUUAGUGGCGAGCAGCCUGAUCGAUAUGUACUCGCGAGCUGGAAGCAUGGAGGAUUCGCACAGGGCCUUCGAUCAAAUGGAGAGCCACGAUGUAGUGUCAUGGACGGGGCUCGUCUCCGGCUAUGCCGAGAAUGGCGAUGGCGAGAGCUCCCUGGCGGUGUUCUUCGCGAUGGUCGACGAGGGAGUGGAGCCCGACUCGUGGACGCUCGCGGCGGCGCUCAAGGCGUGCGGAUCCAUCGCCUCGAGCAAAGCUGGGCGACGUCUCCAUGGCGAGAUUUGCCGGCAUGGACUGGAGGGCGAUACCAUCGUGGUCACCGGUUUGAUCGACUUCUAUGGGAAGUGUGCUACCAUGGCCGACGCUCAGCGUGUCUUUGAUGGUUCCGUGGUUGCCGCACGGGACGUGGUUGCAUGGACGGCUCUAGUGUCCGGCUAUGGCCGCCAAGGUGACGUGAAGUUCGUGUUUGUGACGUUCCAGGCGAUGGUGGACUCUGGCGUGAGGCCGGGAGGUGUGACCCUGCUGUGUGUGCUAGCCGCAUGUAGCCAUGCCGGGCUUGUGGAGCGAGGGAAACGAUUGUUUGGAUCGAUGAGAGAGAAGUAUGGAAUUGAUCCUGGGCGAGAGCACUAUCACUGCGUGAUUGAUAUGCUGGGGCGAGCAAACCAUCUGGAGGAGGCGCUGGAGAUUGUGAGAUCGAUGCCCUUCCAUGCGGGUGUCGUGACCUGGAUGACGAUCUUGAGCGCUUGUAGGAAGUGGAAGAACACGAGAGUUGGAAGUGAAGCAUUUGAUGCGUUGGUUGGAAUGGAUGUGAGGGUGAAAUCGUCAGCGUACUUGUUGAUGGCUCAUGUUUAUGAGAGCUAAGAUCUUAUCGGAGCUCUUUGAAUUUAUGCCGUUGGAUUUAGGGUUCUUGCUAGAUCUUUUGCAAUGCUGAUAUUCUCUCCAACUCUAUCUAUGCUCCAUCGUUUAAGAUCUCCUCUUGACUUGAUAGGUCUCCUAGUCGGAUUCAAGGAAAUGUGUAGACUGAAGACUGGAAACGAUACACGAACCUUAAGAUCGGUCUCUGGAAAGAAGCCUGGUAUUGUUUAGAUUAUUCUUCCUAGGAUGUCAUGUUACAGAUGCUGUUUUCUUAAAGGAAAACCCAGACCUCGAAGCCUACACAGUCUAGCCCGAGCUAUAGAACUUCCAAAAAUCUUGGAAGUAAAGAUGCUCGAUCGAGAGAGAUCUUUGCCGGAGUGUUUGCAGACUCCACUUUCUAAAGGUAUUAUGUACUUUUUUCUCGUCUUGUCACUACUCACUUUCUUGCGCAGGCUUUCUGCCAAAUACAAAAGAGUCCCUUUUGCCACCGCUCCGAGUCAUGAGAAUUUCCCCACGCUAUGCUUUAAGUUCAUAUUGCAUUAGUUUAGGCCUUGGAUGUUCUGGAUCGCGUGUGCUUCGUGCCACUUGCAGCCGAACUCUUGCAGCCGAUUGUUGAUUUCCAAAGUCCAAUCCAGAUCUUGUGCUCGUUGUUUAUUAACCAGGGCUUUUUAUUUACCAGCAAAAAACCAAAAAACUGGGCAUAGUUUCAUUGAGCACGAAAAAAAGUUUCUUGUGUCCUUGGUGUGAACUGCUUCUUAAGACUUAAGCCGCGUUUACAUUUCUGACCAUGGAAGGCAUGCAUACUUCUAUAUGUCAGGAAAAGCGAUAAAAGGAUGCUCAAGCAUUUGCAGGUAUUUUGUGAUUAAUGUCUGUUUACAUCUCCUAGUUUCACCCUUCCACAGUUGCCAAUGUGGAGUGAGUUCGAACAGCAAAAAGCUUCCAAGCAGACACAAAACGAUUUGCUGCAUUGACUGAUCACCUUUCUUCCUGAGGAACAAUGACACUUGAAACAGAAAAACUCAUUCUCGAGCAGAAAUAAUCAGUGAUGUGAAUAGUAGUUCAUCCUGGACUGUUGGUAACAUCUCUGAGAAAAUUUUGUGGCAAUCUAGCAGUUCUCCAAGAGAAGGUUUAAGGCCAAGCUUCCCCGCAUUGUAGCUGAGUCUCAGCCUAGAUCUUGGCAGGAGGGCCGCCAUGUUUUCCCACACGGUUUUCGAACGAAUUUCAUGUGACAGUUAUUGUCACAUGACAAUAACUGUGAACUAAGAACAGAAACAGAGUAAAAGGUGAGAGAACCAAGGUGUGUAGAAACCGGGUGAGGUCACAGUGUCAUCGACUAGAAUCUUCUAACAUGAGACCAAGGAAUUGGAGUUUGCUGCAAUGUCCCUUCUCUCACUCCUUUCCCUUUCUCUCUGCUCGUCCUUUCCCUUUCUCUUUGCUGAAACACCAACAAAUAAAGGUCUGUUUUUACACCCGGUCGCUACUGUGAUCGGCAGGCUUCGUGAAAAUUCUGAUGGUGGAUGGUGGCUGUUUCUAAUUAUUAAACAGUGUUUCUUACAUAAAUGACAUUCUUUUUCAUUCUCCCAUGGCUUAAGCUGAUGAUCCUUCGGUGAUCAUUCUGAUUGUGAUGGAACUACUGAUUAAUUAGGUUUAUAUUGUGAGGGGAAUGCCAGAAGUCGAGCUCGAUAUCUCCUAGAUUUCGACCUUGUUGGCUACAUCACCCCAUAUAUACUUUUUAUAUAUGGUUUUGGGAUCAGUAUCAUAAACUAUAUUACAAUUUUUAUAAGAGCAUCUGGCAACGAUAUCAAUCGAGGCGAUCUUCUUCCUCUCCUUGGAACGGACGAGAAACGCGACGCACGGAACUGCAGUUGCGAUCCGGAGCAGCAAGCUGGUGGUGCUCCAAAAUCCUCGCAGACUUUGCUGGAUCGAAGCGUCUGGAGCAGCCCCUGCUUCAUCUGCGACACUGCUCUGGGCUUACAACACCUAUUGCCAAGAUGAAACAAGAAGAAAUAAAGAGCUCUCUCCUUUUCAAUGGAAGUGGGCCGGCACGAUGCCACAGAGCAGUUGUCAACGGUGGACCAUCAUCUAUGCCAGAAAAAAGAAUCUGUAGAAUCGACAGAGCAAUCUUUUUGAUUUUUUCAAAUUCAAACUUUAGCUUGCAUUAUAUAAGAUUUACAUGGUCCUUAUAUAAGAGCAACAUUAUUUUUAUAAAUAUUUCUUUAUCCACUCAUGUUCGAGGACCUUUUCCAAAGUAAGCCUCCUUCCGGGAUCCAAUUCCGUCAUGCCUUGGAUAAGCUGCCUUGCAGAAAGGGAUGGAAUGCUAUCCCAAUCCAUAGAAUUGUGAUGGAGAUUCCUUAAACUUCGAUCUCUCUUGCGUGCAUUCUUAAAUACCACCUCCACAUCCAUAUUUGGGAACGGACAAGCUGCCGUGAGGCAAGUGUAAAGCAGCAUCCCUAAGCCCCACACAUCGCUGGCUGUGAUAUAGCGCCCAUCGAGCAUCGCUUCGGGGGACAUAUAAUCCCACGUCCCAGCCCCACGCUCGUUCCACGGAUCAUCCAUCCAGCAAGCCAUCCCAAAGUCGGACACCUUUGGGACAUAGAACUUCCCAGGCCGCGGGUACUUCAGCAAAACAUUCGCGGGCUUCAGGUCGCAGUGGAUGAUCUCGUUGUCAUGAACCCUCUUUAGCGUCUUGGCGAGAGCUAUGACGAUCUUUGCAGAUUCUUCCUCAUCAAGCUGCCCCUUGUACUUGAUCCGGUCCUGAAGGCUGCAAUUGCACAGCUCAAGAACAAGGUGGUACACCUCCCCGUACUGAUUGGGCUCUUCUCGUAUGAUGUGCUCGAAGUGGACGAGCCCCUGUUCACCCAAACCCUUGAGUGACACCUCUAGCAUAGCCAUCACUCGAGCUUCAAACAGCCCAUCGGGCCCAUGAACUGUCUUGAUCGCAAAAACCUUUCCAUCACUCCUUCGGAAUGCCUUGUACACCGUUGCUUGCCCUCCACCCCCAAUCGACUUCUCUAGUCUAUAUUUCUCUACCAGCGCUGGGUAUUCGUCACAGAGAUUUUCAUCCAGGACCGUGUGGUACUCCAUCCCUUGCCUAGGUUUCUUGGGCACAUAGUUCUCCAAGCUGUGCUCGCGCUCGCGCUUAACCAUCUCGAAAGAGCUCUAGGGCUUGUUUGUAAAGGCAGAAUUUUAGUUUAUGCAUCUUUUAUUUUAAAGGUAUCAUGUUCAAGUGAACAUUUCCUGGAAUGCCAAGUGUGGAAGCAUGAGAGACUCUCGGCGACGGGAUUGAGAACCACGACGUUGUCUCCUGGACGGUAUUGGUUCUGGGAUACGCUCAAAACCGGCAGGAAGAUUUGGCUCUGGAGCUCUUCUCGCAGAUGGAAGCUGCUAUGAUCAAUCCAGAUUGCUCGAGUUUUCUCGCGGCUAUCAAAACUUGCUCUAGUCUGGCUGCGCGAGAGGAGAUUGAUGCGUCGUUGGCUGUGAAGAGCAAGAGCUUGGAACGAGGUUUGGCGAUUCACUCUCACGCAUCAAACUCUUGCGGCUUCAAGUUGGAGGCGAGGAGACAUCCACUUGGCAAACACGAUGGUGGACUUGUAUGGCAAGUGUGAAAGUCUAGAAGAUGCUCGCAGGGUGUUUGAUUCGAUGGAGCAGCACGACAUCGUUUCCUGGACAUCGAUCAUCACAGGCUAUGCUCACGAGAGCCAAGAUGGAGACGAAGCUUUCCUUCUCUUCUCUUCCAUGCAAGAACAAGGAUUUAAACCCGAUCGUUUAGCUUGUCUCGCCGCUAUCAAGGCUUGUAGCGUAAUCACCGAGAAGAAAAUGGGAUUUAGACGUAGAAUCUCUCGAGAAAGCAAUGAAAAUCCACUCGUGGAUCUCGCAGCUUGGCCUGGAGAGAGAUCCAGCAGUCUGGUUGAUAUGUAUGCCAAGUGUGGAAGCUUGAUCAUGGACGCUCGCAGGGUAUUUGAUAAAAUCUUAGAUCGCGACAUAGUCUCGUGGACGUGGAACUCUUUCCUGUUUGGAUGUGUUUGUUUACAUUGGCGAAGACGAGCUUGCGUUGGAAUGCUAUGCAGCCCUGGAAGUUGCUCCAAACUCUCAAACCUUUCUUGCGUUGUCGCAAGUUUGCAGGAACCUGGGAGAUUUGAAGCUCGGGAAGCUCUUCCACGGACAGAUUCUCCGGCAGGGACUGGAAGGGAGUUCUGUGGGGAUUUCCCUGCUUGUGUUGCGGACCACAUAGAAAUCGCUUCAAAGGUCCUGCUUC
rnacentral:lncRNA from 1 species